rnacentral:tRNA from 1 species
AGCCUUGUGGUGUAUAAGCAUAUGGGAUUGCAAAUCCCAAGAAGCGAGUUAGUUCUCGCCGGGGCUU